AUUGAACGCUGGCGGCAGGCUUAACACAUGCAAGUCGAGCGGGGUGAUGGUGCUUGCACUAUCACUUAGCGGCGGACGGGUGAGUAAUGCUUAGGAAUCUGCCUAUUAGUGGGGGACAACAUCUCGAAAGGGAUGCUAAUACCGCAUACGUCCUACGGGAGAAAGCAGGGGAUCACUUGUGACCUUGCGCUAAUAGAUGAGCCUAAGUCGGAUUAGCUAGUUGGUGGGGUAAAGGCCUACCAAGGCGACGAUCUGUAGCGGGUCUGAGAGGAUGAUCCGCCACACUGGGACUGAGAAACGGCCCAGACGCCUACGGGAGGCAGCAGUGGGGAAUAUUGGACAAUGGGGGGAACCCUGAUCCAGCCAUGCCGCGUGUGUGAAGAAGGCCUUAUGGUUGUAAAGCACUUUAAGCGAGGAGGAGGCUCUUUUGGUUAAUACCCAAGAUGAGUGGACGUUACUCGCAGAAUAAGCACCGGCUAACUCUGUGCCAGCAGCCGCCGCAG
rnacentral:rRNA from 1 species